rnacentral:lncRNA from 1 species
GAAGAGAAAUAUUUUAGAAUUUUUAUUAAUGAGAGAGGACCUAAAAGGUUUUCAUUAUUUAGGGUUUAGAAAGGAACUAAACCUAAUUUUUUUAUUAACGAGACUGACAAGAUUUACAAAUCCUGCUCCUACGUAUCUCCAGGUGCAAUAGAGAAUUCAAGGCUUACGUAGUUCUAGGUAGAAAAUGUUUGCUUGUUGGUCGAUUUUAGCGAAAGC